rnacentral:rRNA from 1 species
CCCUUAGAUGUUCUGGGCCGCACGCGUGCUACACUGAGUGGAUCAGCGGGUCAGGUUGCGCGAAAGUGUUUCCUAAUCUUGAAAUCCGCUCGUGAUGGGGAUUGACGGUUGCAAUUUUCCGUCAUGAACGAGGAAUACCUUGUAAGCGCGGGUCAUCAUCCCGCGCUGAAUACGUCCCUGCCCUUUGUACACACCGCCCGUCGCUCCUGCCGAUUGAGUGGUCCGGUGAGGCUUUGGGAUCUGAGCGGAAAGAGCGUUUCGCUGUUUCUGCUCGGAAAACUCAGUCGAACCUUAUCAUUUAGAGGAAGGAGAAGUCGUAACA